rnacentral:rRNA from 1 species
AAACCAAAGCUGGCGACCGGCGCACGGGUGAGUAACACGUAUCCAACCUGCCUCAUACUCGGGGAUAGCCUUUCGAAAGAAAGAUUAAUAUCCGAUAGCAUAUAUUCCCGCAUGGGUUUAUAUUAAAGAAAUUCGGUAUGAGAUGGGGAUGCGUUCCAUUAGUUUGUUGGGGGGUAACGGCCCACCAAGACUACGAUGGAUAGGGGUUCUGAGAGGAAGGUCCCCCACAUUGGAACUGAGACACGGUCCAA